rnacentral:lncRNA from 1 species
UUUAGUAGAACACACUUUUUAGGAGAACUUUUUUAAUUUUUUUGUUUAUUAUUUUAAAAUCCACCUGUUCUGUUAUCAUGAUAAGACACAAAUCCGAGUGUGCGGCCACUGAGACAGCAGAAAACAUAUGGAUGCAAAAAUUUGAAACGUGUUUAGCAAGUUUUAAAAAUCAGCUAUUGAAAUAAAAUUCAAUUCUUCCCAAUCUCGAGAUUCGGAGUGGCUCAGCUUGGCUAUAUAAACAGCAGUGGACAAGGCAAAGAUUAUUCAUACUCUCAUAAAAAAGAUAACAUUUGUCUACUCUUCAAAAAUUUACAAACUAGUCCCUAAGUUUGAGCAACAUGCCUUCACCACCCCACCACCACAACCAUCCCCAGUCCCACCCCCACCCUGCACCACCAGUGGUGGUUGUCGCUCCUCACCCAGCACCCCACCACCAUGCCCCUGUGGUGGUCGCACCGCCACCGAAAGUCGUGGUUGCGCAUCCACCCGCUCACCAUGACCACAAGCACAAGCACUGAAUUACACCAGGCGCAUGAGCUUAUAUUUUCUGUCAUCUAAUAAAAUAUGUACAAGUACUGUACGUGUUCUCUGUUUGCUCUAUAAUCUUGUAAGGUAAACCUAUGUAUUAGAAAUAAAAUCGUUGACAAGUAAUUUGUUGUAUUGGUCGUGCUGUGCUUGGAUCAAACAACUGAUGAAUAUAUGGAUGUCCUAUUAAAGUAGGUUUCUUGGAUCAAACAACUGCUCUAUUCUCUCUUCUUCCAUUUUUCUUAGUCUUUGGAUGAAAAAUAUAAGUCUCGUAAUCCAGAUGCAAGUUAAUUAGAAGAAUUUACCAAAUAUAUUAAUCUCGUCUUCUUUUCUUUGAGUAAUCUGUCCAUCCGGGUAUUUUUCCAUUUAAUAAUAAACUAGAUUUCAACUUCUUAAACUGUAUUUCGAAAUCCUUAAAAAACACACGGAAUACUAAGGCAUAAGUACAGUUAUCCGAUGAUAUUACACACAUGACACACUGGACAUAAGACAGUUGACAAGAAACUUGGGACACACUUAGGCAUAAAAUAGUUGACAAGAAACUUAGCCCGAUCAUGUUAGCAGUGUUGUAUUCGGCGAGUUACGGAACUGUGAUGAAUCGUGAUUAAUCACCGACUUUUAGAACAGAGCCUGCUAGUAACUGAAUCUCGGUUUAAUUACAUCAUUUUCUUUAAGAUAGAAGCUAGCCCCCCCCCCCCCCCCCCCCCCCCCNCCCCCCCCCCCCCCCCCCCCCAAACAUUGGAAAAAAACUUUGGUAAAAUCAACCAAAAUCAAGACGUCUUUAAACUUUGGUAUUGAAAUAGUUCCUCUUCGUACACGUUAAAUUAAAUGCAACCUAAAUGUAACUAAGAAUAAAUUCAAAUUUCUUACCGAAAAAAUGAAAAAGAAUUAUAAUAAUGGCGAACAUAGUUUUGCAAAUAUAUUAUUCAGACCAUAAUUAAAUGGCUUUUAUCACAAUAUUUGAUAAAAACUGUUCUGCAAAUUUUAUAGGUAUAUAUUAAAAUCAUCAAAACAAAAUUAAAAUUAGAUUAAUCAAAGAGCUUAUAUUAAGUUUUGAUGUUUGUACGUUAAUUUAGUUUAUAUACGAGUACUUGCCUAUGUAUACAUGUACGCCACUAAUCAAAUAAAUACUCUAACCCUAAACCUCAUCUGCCCCAUUUUCACUAUUACCUGCCCCAUCUUGUAUCCUACUCUAUCUUUAUCCAACCCCCAGCUCUCAACUACAACCUUCUUUCGCUGCCCGUCAUCUGUUUCCCACACCACCAACCCCUUGCCCCGAUCUUCCUUUUCAACAACUCCAAUCUCUUGUUUGUGCACUUUUGAUUACACAUAGCCCCGAUCUUCCUUUCUGACAAUCUCCAAUCUUGUUAGCCCAUUUAUUAUCACCCCUAAUAAUUGUUGUGAGUAAAUUCCGGCAUCAUUCUUCAUUAAAAGUGACGAUGAAGAUGAAAUAGAAAAGGAUGAAAUAAUGGUGUGUAUACGUAUAUAAUAACUCUAUAUCAAGUUUCACUGAAUUCUUUAUAUCAUUUAGUGAUAUAUAUUAGUGAUUUUUGUAAUAUAAUUAGUGAUUGAAGUUUGAAUCUAGCAAUUUUAAGAAAUAUGUCAAGGAAGUGAUUUUAUGUAAAUUAAUGAUUGUAGUGGUUAUUGAUCAGGGUGGUGAUGAUCGAAGAUCAAUUUAUAUAUUAUGUAUUUAUUUUUAUAAUAAACUCGAACAGUCACUAAAUAUUAUUAUCAAAUAUUAUUGUUAUAAUUAUUGUUUUCUAGUUUUUCGUGCAAAAGAGUUUUUCAUGGAGUAAAUAUAUUAUGUUAUAAUAUAAUUUAUAUAUUAUUUUAUAAUUAUCAUCUUUCUUCUUCAUCUUAAAGUCAAUAGCCUCCAUCAUGUUGCACCUCUGUUUAGAUCUGGUUAAUUUUUGUUCUUAAACAUAGUUGAAGAAGAUGAUGUCAAUUAUAAUGGAUUGUCCUGCAACUACAAUGGAUUAUGCUGCUAUCAUCGUCUUGCAUUUUCAUUGUAUAGAUAUGUACAAUAUGUAAUGGGGUGCAAAACAAUUCAUUGUAAUUGCCAUCAUGCUCUUCAACUAUGCUUAAGAACAAAAAUUAACUAGAUCCAAUAAAGGUGCAACACGAUGGAGGUUGUUGACUUCAAGAUGGCAUAGAAAAAUGGUAAUCGAUGAUGAACGAAGUGGGCAAACAAUUACAUAAAUGUGCAGAACAAUUGCAUAGCACUAAGAGAUACAUAAAACACAAUACCAUAAUUGAAGCCUGUGAUUAUAGCUGAUGGUCCGUAUUUUAUACUGUAUAUCAAACAUUCACUCACUAAAUAUAAUUAAAAAAUAAUAAUAAAAGAAAAAUAAUAAAGACCGUUAGAUUAAAUAUAAUGAAUGACUAAGAUGUUGGUCUCCAAUACUAAAAUAAAAAUGUGGUCCAUAAGGAACUUUACUCAAUUAUUAUAAAUACAUUACAACAAUAUAAAUUUCAAAGUUUUCUUACUCAGCUUCACUGUAAUUUUAGUAUCCCAUGAAUUUAAUAAUUAUCAUUUUAAUUCUUUCACAUAUAUUAAAAUAUAGAAAGUAUAUUUUAAUUUUUAAUUUUCAAAUUUUGUUAUUUCAAUUUAUUCGAAUAUGUGAUUUUUUUCCAAAAAAUAUUAUUAAAAUAUAUACUUCAUGUAUUAACAAGUAGAGCGAAAAGAAAAGUAAACAGAAAACCUAUUAUUGAUAGGGUUUUGCUUGUGGGCACAACAAUAAGUAAGGAUUACGACGCGUAGACAUGGACCUUGACUGGUAGCUACGUCGAGGAAUAGAAGCAACACUAUAAACACCCCGUGACAGGUACGCCAUUUUAUUCAUCACCAUCCAUUUGUCCAAACCGACUUCUCGAAAUUAAUAUACCAGUACUAUGAUUCGGAUCAUAUUUUGUUGGACUAGUUUUCAUUUUGAAGUUAUCUUCUGACAGAUAAAUAUCUUGCCUGGUUUAAUUUGAUUUUUUAAGAACAUCUCUGAGAGCAAGUAAAUGAACAAGUCUUUUAUUAAAAAUAAUUUUUCAAUUAUCUUAAUAUAGUAGUUUAUUUUUAAUAUUAAUAUUCAUAAGUAUAUAGUAUAUUUUAUAAAAUACAGUAAUCUUUUAUGUCCUGAAUGGCCUUUAGCCAAACUCCACCAAAGUCAAACUUUUCUAGCUAUAAAAUAAUGGCCCUAGCUAAUAAAUAUUUUUAGGUAAGAUAGAAAGCAAUAGCUAUUAAUAUUAUUAAAUGUUGUCGACAAAACGUUAAAGUCCGUCUUCAUCAAGGAAUUGUAAAUAACUGUGAAUCGAUUUUAUCCCGUAAAACUAAUGCUUUACCAGUAAAGUAAAAUGCAAAAUAUGUAUACAAUACAUGUAAAAUAUUUGAUAAAUUUCUAUGUGAAUGAAUUCAUAUUAUAUAGUACUCCCUCCGUCCCUCUGAGUUGUUUACCUCUACACUGUUUGCACACAUUUUGAGUCUCCUAUAAAAUAAAGCCGCAUAAUUUUUUUUAAAACUUUUUUUUUUUGAAUAAAAGUUUAAACAUCAAAAUUUUAUUCAGAGAAAAAAAAUUUAAAAAAUAUAUUAUAAAACUACACUUUAAAUUGAGCGUGGAAAAACAUGCCGAAAAGUAUCAUAAAGAAAUGAGAAGGACAGAGGGAGUAUAAGAUAAAAUUUAUAUUACAAUAAAACAGUAGCUGCUGAUGAUUAGCCUAUAUAUUCAUGAAUAAAUAUGACAUUUAAAAUACAUAAAGCCAAGAGAACCGGGAAACGCUAGAUUCGGGUGCCUUAAUUAGAUGAAUUUUGAAAAUGAUGUCUUUUUUUUACAAUCGUAAAAUAAAAAUUUACAUACAUUCAAUCAAUAUAUAAUAUACAAUGACAUAAUCUAAAAUAUUGUUUUAAGAUUGAAAACACCAUCAAUUCAAAUGUUCGAACUUUAGUGAAAAGAGAAAAAUGAACUCACGCGUGUAUAUAAGGCGUGAGUAUUGGAUUUCAACUACUCCUAUAUCUUUGUAUCUUAAAUAUAAGUAUUAAACAACUCCAUCACAUUAUAGUGAUAAAAAGAUUUAUUUUUAAUAUAAAUAAAUAAAACAACUCCAUUAUUACGUGGCUUUGAACGAGGAGCCAAAAAAUAUGCUCGCUGGACGACGAGCAGAGGAAAAUAUCCCCGUUGCCUUCGGUGACGAUUCAAAUAUGGAGCUACUUUUUGUUUUCUAUUCAUAAGAUUCAGUUUUUUCCUACUAAAAGAUAUUGUGAUGGUAUAAGCCAUACCCAUUAGAAAAGAAAAAGUAGCUCCAUCCAAUACUGGAGAGUAUGUUUUCUCGUAAUUAAAUAUUGAGAAAAUUAGGCUAAUAAUCGAGCCAUAUAUCUCAUAAUUCCUUUUUCAUACAAAUACCCAUAUAUUCCUAAUUAAUAUGAACAACACCAGAUGGUGUUUAGACUAGAGGCCCAGACACAUUUCUCUUGGUAAAGGAUUGCAAUUUUUCCUUGAUUGCAUUUUCCCUUUUGGCCAAUUUUAUAUUUGUCGAAACUCUUCAAUAUUUGAUAGUUCAAGAUUAGAGCUCAUAAAAAUAUGACAUGUCAAGGAAAAGUACACAUCAUCAAUCUCAGUACACUUAGGAUCCAAAAAAAAAAUUUAUGUGCAUAACUCAAAUUUGUCACUUCAGGGGAAAUAUCCUCUUCUAGAGGUAAUACAACUUAUUAGAGGUAAUACUACUUAUUAUGAUUAUGUUCUAAACACUUUAUGGGCUCAAACCUCUUCAUGUGGUGAUACCACUUCCACGAUAUUUCUUGGAAUGUGGGUAUAGCGGUUAACACACUUCCAGUAUGAAUAUAAAUCGAUUAUCAAUUCUUCUGGAAUUGAUUUAUUAGUAGGGAUUUCAAUCCUUACCGGAGCUUUAACAACAAGUACAUGUGUACAUGUCUAGAAUCACUAAAAAUAUUUGAUAUUUAAUUAGCAAUAUUUAGCAUAUGAAUAGUUCUAUUACCUCAAAUUCACAUUAGUUUGUGGGUCAACAGCAGUAGGCCUGAUGCAUGCCAUAAUAUUUUAGAAUUUUAUAUUUAUUAAAAUUUAUUUCACCCUAAGAAAGGAAGACAGAUUCAUAAAAUUGAAAAUAGACAUAUUGAGUAGUAUAACAUCACCAAUAUAUUGUCCAUGAUAUCUUAUAAUAGACGUAGAAUAGAAAACAACAUAUAUACCAGUUACAUCCCAAUUUAAUUCUUAAUGGUGUUAAUAUUGAACAUAUGCCUCACAACUAACAUAUAUUUCAGUGACAUACAAUGAGAGAAAAUUGGGCUCAUAAUUUAUUGAUUUGAGCAAGUAAUUUGGUAAAUGUUAUAUUUUGGGUUGUAAGUAAACAUACAUGGGGACCACCUGAAUGAGGCGUCAAUUAACACCAUAAAAAUACCUAAAUGGGCCGAAGAUAGGUUGAUUGGACCAUAAAUGUCACUUUGAAUUCUUUCUAAGAAAUUUAGAGACUCGAUUUAAUGUUUGACUGAGAAUGGUCGGGCAAUCGAUUUUUUCAAAAAAAUUGCGAACAAUAAAGUUCAACUCUGGGUAUUAAUCUUAUAUUUUUAAGAGGAUAACUCAAUUCAAUUUUAUGUAAUAUGAUGCAUCACAUGUGCUCAUAUAUAUAUGAUCGAGUCUUUUGAAACCAAUUUUAAAGUAUAAACUAGAAAGUAGAAUAAAAAAUUAAAAUAAGUAGACGCCAAAAAACAUCUUUUCAUUUUACAAUUCAAUGUCCAUCCCCUCUAUCAUUUGCAUAAAAUUUCGGUGAUUCUGAUCACAGUUUAGAGAAUUUAGUGUUAUUGAUGAUGUAAUAGUUAUAUAUGAUGCGCUGGCGGUGGUAUAGUAGUGACCGUGAAGUGGUAAUUGAUGUUGGUCGUUAUGAUAUUGAAUUUAGUGAUAUUAGUGUCGUGGUUAUGAUAUUUAAAUUUUAGUGAAUGACAAUGAUGAUAUAUUGGUGUUGUUAUAUAUAAAUACAAAAUAAUGAUUCUUGUAAUAAAUUUUAGGGAUUAUUGUAAUAUUAUUUAGAUAUUAGAGUUUAAAUAUGGUAACUCAUGUUCAUGUGUCAUGAUUAAAUUUCAGAUUUUAUAAUUUUUGUUGGAAGUAAUUUAUGUUGUAGAUGGUGGUUAGUGGAUAGAAAUGACGAUAACAAUAACGGAGUCAAGACGAGUUAAUUAUUCUGAUAAUUAUGGUGGAUGGAGGUCAGAUUGGAGAUGGUGACUAUAAUCGAGCUAAUUAUUGAUAUCAAUGAUAGAGAAAGAGGAUGAAGACUUUGAAAUAGUGGGAUAUAGAUACAAAUAUUUUUUUUAAUGAUAGUGAUUAUUUUCUAAUUUUUAUCUUUACAGGGUUUGUAGUGUAGUAAGACUCCAUAUUUGUAUAUUUAUAUAUAAAGAGGCAAGUGCUUAAAUGAGAACAAUGCUUAUGUGAAAUAGGGAUCUAAUCUCAACCACACAAAUUUGAAGCUGCUUUUAAUCUUAUCCAAUUAUUUAAAUCUUAUCAUCUCCAUCUCUAACAAUCACCAUCUUCUUACCCCUUACCAUUUCCACCAUAACUUUCGGCCACACCCACGGCCCACUUUCGCCUCGCUAGCAACCUCUCACCAUAUAAUCAUUAAUGUUGGCUAUUCUUCCCUCACCAUCCUCUUUAUAUCCCCUUCAUUUUAUCUCACCGGCAAGUCAUUGUCCUUGACCAUCAUUGAAGUUUGGCAUCCGCUUCAAUCUACCUCUCCUCUCCGCCAACCACAUCUCCGUUGUGGUGACCAUACUGAUGAAAAACUGCUGCUCAGCUCUAGGAAAUUUAGUACAUCCAGAUCUACACUAUUAUUAUUACGCGCUUAUAUUUGGAGAAAAUCUGUUGUGGUUAAGUAUUAUUUUGUGGUAAUUUAUGUUAGUUUUUCAUUUUUUAUUACUCUCAUCUAGUGACUAUACAAAUAUAUGGUUUGGUUGUUUUAGAUGGUGGUGGUUUCCGGUAUGAUGAUGAUUGAUGGGUGAUGGUGGAUUUUGUGUGCAUAUGGUGAUUUUAGGUCAGAUCUUGUAAUUUUGCACUAUCGUGAUGAUACGGAGGGGUGGGUGGUGGUGGUGGACGAUGUACUUGGGAGGAAGUGGCUAUAUGAUAGUAGGAAUUGUGUUGAUUCUAUUGAAAUCGAGUGAUUUUCUUAUGAAGAUAAUGGUGAUUUUUUGUUGCCAAUUAUCGAAUGUUGUGGUUAGAUCUCAUAUAUCAAAAUAGAGCCAACGUGUUUCAAAACUCAUCCUUACACGCUUGCACCCUCUUAUGUAUUUGUUCACAUUUUAUUCUAAAUUAAAAAAUAGUCAACUAGAUACUAUUUUAAAAUCUAAAUACUUUUUUCCUGUUUCAAGUUAAAAAAUCGUCAAACAAGUAUUAUUUUGAAAUCUAAAUACUUUUUCUUAAGACAAACCUUGUGUGACAACUGAUAUAGUAAAUAGUAAUAUAUCAAUACAUAUAAAUAUAAAUUUAUGUAAUAACGACUCAUAGAUUAUAUUAAAAUAAUUGGAUAAAACUCAACUCUGUAAACUGCAAUUUUGACUCCCAAGUGGUUCGCAUGUAUAUAUAUACACACACAUGAGAGUACACAGCAAGGAUUAUUACUUGUACGCCAGAAAAAAAUAAAUUUUCCUCUAUAUUCCAAAAUUUAGAAGCUUUUCCUUAAGUUUCAGGAGUCAUGCCUUCACCACCUCACCACAACCAUCCCCAAUCCCACCCAAAUCCCGCACCACCGGUGGCUGUUGUCGCUCCUCACUCAGGACCCAACCACCAGGCUCCUGCGCCACCGAAAGUCGUGGUUGUGAAUCCUCCUACUCACCAUGACAACCACAAACAUUAAACUUGGCGGAUGAUGAUGUUAUAUAUAAUGCGGUGCUACUUGUUGCAGCUGCUUAUAAUCACUUUGCUCUAAUAAAUUUUGUUGAAAUACUCUACGUGAUUUAUGUUUUUCUAUAUGUAUUCUGGUCCAAGUCGACGAUCUUGUAAGGUAAACCUAUGUGUUAUAAAUAAACUCCUUGACGAGUAAUUUAUUGUAUUGUUCGUGCGGUUCUUGGAUCAAGUAUAUUGUCUUUCUUGCAUCAAACAACUACUGUAUUUAUAUAUAGUACUGUUCUAUGAAAGUGGGGUUUAAAUUUCUAUUUA